rnacentral:rRNA from 1 species
AGUGAACGCUGGCGGUAGGCCUAACACAUGCAAGUCGAACGGCAGCACAGUAAGAGCUUGCUCUUACGGGUGGCGAGUGGCGGACGGGUGAGGAAUACAUCGGAAUCUACUUUUUCGUGGGGGAUAACGUAGGGAAACUUACGCUAAUACCGCAUACGACCUACGGGUGAAAGCAGUGGAUCUUCGGACCUUUCGCGAUUGAAUGAGCCGAUGUCGGAUUAGCUAGUUGGCGGGGUAAAGGCCCACCAAGGCGACGAUCCGUAGCUGGUCUGAGAGGAUGAUCAGCCACACUGGAACUGAGACACGGUCCAGACUCCUAGGGGAGGCAGCAGUGGGGAAUAUUGGAAAAUGGGCGCAAGCCUGAUCCAGCAAUACCGCGUGGGUGAAGAAGGCCUUCGGGUGGUAAAGCCCUUUUGUUGGGAAAGAAAAGCAGCAGGUUAAUACCCCGCUGUUCGGACGGUACCCAAAGAAUAAGCACCGGCUAACUUCGU